AUCUUGCGCAAUGGGCGAAAGCCUGACGCAGCCAUGCCGCGUGAAUGAUGAAGGUCUUAGGAUUGUAAAAUUCUUUUAGCAGGGACGAUAAUGACGGUACCUGCAGAAAAAGCCCCGGCUAACUUCGUGCCAGCAGCCGCGGUAAUACGAAGGGGGCUAGCGUUGCUCGGAAUUACUGGGCGUAAAGGGAGCGUAGGCGGGUUACCAAGUUGGGGGUGAAAGCCCAGGGCUCAACCCUGGAAUUGCCUUCAAAACUGGUAACCUUGAGGAUGGAAGAGGUAAGUGGAACUCCGAGUGUAGAGGUGAAAUUCGUAGAUAUUCGGAAGAACACCAGUGGCGAAGGCGACUUACUGGUCCAUUACUGACGCUGAGGCUCGAAAGCGUGGGGAGCAAACAGG
rnacentral:rRNA from 1 species